UCUGGUUGAUCCUGCCGGAGGCCAUUGCUAUUGGGAUCCGAUUUAGCCAUGCUAGUCGUACGAGUUCACACUCGUGGCGCAUAGCUCAGUAACACGUGGCCAAACUACCCUUCGGAGCUCCAUACCCUCGGGAAACUGAGGCUAAUAGAGCAUCCCACAGUUCACCUGGAACGAGAACUGUGCCAAACGCUCCGGCGCCNAAGGACGUGGCUGCGGCCGAUUAGGUAGACGGUGGGGUAACGGCCCACCGUGCCAAUAAUCGGUACGGGUGGUGAGAGCCAGAACCCGGAGACGGAAUCUGAGACAAGAUUCCGGGCCCUACGGGGCGCAGCAGGCGCGAAACCUUUACACUGCACGCCAGUGCGAUAGGGGGAUCCCAAGUGCACAGGCAUAGUGCCUGUGCUUUUCGACACCCUAAGGCGGUGUCANAAUAAGGGCUGGGCAANACCGGUGCCAGCCGCCGCGGUAAUACCGGCAGCCCGAGUGAUGGCCGAUCUUAUUGGGCCUAAAGCGUCCGUAGCUGGCCGCGCAAGUCCAUCGGAAAAUCCACCCGCUCAACGGGUGGGCGACCGGUGGAAACUGCGUGGCUUGGGACCGGAAGGCGCGACGGGUACGUCCGGGGUAGGAGUGAAAUCCCGUAAUCCCGAACGGACCGCCGAUGGCGAAAGCACGUCGCGAAAACGGAUCCGACAGUGAGGGACGAAAGCCAGGGUCUCGAACCGGAUUANAUACCCGGGUAGUCCUGGCCGUAAACAAUGUCUGCUAGGUGUGGCACCCACUACNAGUGGGUGCUGUGCCGUAAGGAAACCGCUAACCAGGCCGCCUGGG
rnacentral:rRNA from 1 species